rnacentral:rRNA from 1 species
UAGGUAGAGAAUACUAAGGCGAAGAGAUAAUACUUGUAAAGGAACUCGGCAAACUGUCUUCAUAAGUUAGACGAUAUGAAGAACCACUGAAUACUAUUACUCCUUAUUGUCUUAUUUAAGAUAGAAAUAUCAUAAGCUUGACAUUAGUUAAGUUUAUAUAAGGAAGUGUAAACCUCCCUUUAGUUUUAAGGAAACUUAUUACUUUAGGUCAGGUUGCUUUGUGUAUUACUAUUUUGUAAUCCAAGGCCUUAAUAGUAUUUAAGUGGUGGCACAGAAUCGGAGGCCCCGACUGUUUACUUAAAACACAGCUUUCUGCGACGAAUAAUAUCUUUGUAUAGAAAGCGAAUUUUGCCCAAUGCCAUUAAUAUAAGGUCGAUAAGCGCUUAGCGUAAUUAUUGGCUGAAGUUCUGGUCAAUGGCGGUCUUAUCUAUGAGGAUCCUAAGGUAGCAAAAUUAAUUGUCCAUUAAAUGUGGUCCUGACUGAAUAAAGUAACGAUGGUCUCGCUGUCUCUACAAGUAUCUCAGUGAAAUUGAAUUAGCCGUGCAGAUGCGGUUUAACUUCGGGUAGACGGGAAGACCCU